GAAAAUUCCUCUUAUACAAGUUCUGCACAUUAUUUUCAAGGUAAUGAAGAAGAGAAUGAAGUAGAAGCAGGUGUCACUGAUUCAACUUCAAUAAAAGAGAACGAAGAAGUCGUAUCAACAACUAUUCAGAUGGGAAUGAAACUGAUCACAAGGUGGCUCAAAGGCUUAAAGGUGCUGGGUAUGCUUCAAUAGUUCUGUUGGAGCUGUUCAUAAAACUUCUAAAGAAAAUGUUGGGUAUAUCUGUACCAAGUACUCCACAAACACAGAACUCCAUGUACCGUGAAAGCGCUAAAGUAAAAUUCUCACAGCCGGUCAUUUAUGAGCCGUGCUUGGUUAACUUUAUUGAGAAAGCUAUAGUAACAGCUGAGGAAGCCGGUACUAACUACUAAGGUGUUCAGUCUGCGUCUUUCAAACCAGGUAAAGCUAAUGAGCUCCCACGAUUGGAAGGGGCAUUACCUCAAUUUGGAUCUCCUCUCUUUGUAUCUUAAUUUGGAAUUUUUGUUUCAUAGGUUUUCUCCAUUAUGAAUCAGAAAGCUGAGAUUUCGAUAAAUGUGUUUUUCUUAAAAUACUAUCACGUGAUGUAUAUAAUUUGACUUCUGGCAAGAUGGAUGAAGGAUCAAAUCACGUAUGCAUUUUUGGUUACCAAAUGAAUGUUUAUUUUUCUAUCUUAGAAAAGCAGGAUCCCUGAAUCUUAAUGUGGUAAAUUGUAUGUGUAUAUGCUUUUUUCAUGUUUGUAGUAGGUAUAUGGGUGAUUGUUCGCCUUUGAUAUAGAUUGUUCUUUGUUUUUCUGCUGGGACCGAUUAUGGUUGUUGAAUACCACAUUCAUCAACUACUCAUCUAUAAAAAGUCAAAUGCUCAUUCUUAACAUAUUAAAAUGGAAGGUGGCACAAGAUGCCCGAUGCCCCUGUAGUAGGAAAGGCGAAAAAGCCACUCUUAGCUGAACUAUGUUAGUAUUUGUACAUCUAAUCUGUACUUCUCCUGGAAGCAGUUAUGUUAGUAACUGAACUAUGUUACUCAACUACUUCAGCUGAUGCCAUCUCUUCAUGUACUAACAAAAUUAAGUAAUUUUCUGCUCAGAAAAGCAAGAAGAUAACAUAUUGUGGUUUUGUUGUUAUUUCUUGGUUUUUAUUGUAUAAUUUGAUUUUUUUUUUUACUGACUUUCUAUUCUUACUGCUUUUACUUACGAUAUUGUGGUUUUUAUAAUUUACCGAUGGUAUCGGUAUUUAUCGUGCUCUCGUUUCUUCUUGUCCUGAUUGCCGGAAAGCUCAACCGAUGUUUUACCAACGGAAUUCACAAAAUUUGUGAAGUUUAAAAAGGGAAAGCAAGUUGUCACAACUGAUGAUGAAGGAUUCAGGGGUACUAAUGGAAUCAAUUCAAUAAUAUAUUUGCUCCUAUCAACCUGAUAGUGGUGACCGAGUGUUCAUUCGAAUAAAAAUGUGAUUUGCUAAUGUUGGCGUUGUUGCUACAGCAUUAUGGUGCAAUGCUGGGGGAAAAAACUUUCUAGUUGAUCAGGUACUCGAAGCAAAUAUAUUAUUGAGCAUGGUCGUGUGUUAGCUCUAAAGGCUAACUGCUCAAUUGGGUCAAGCUGGAUGGUGUGAUAGAAGGACUUAAUCCAACUCCUUACCAAGUCGUUUCAGAACAGAAUGCAACAAAUAUGGAAGGCACCUCUUCCCAGGUUUGGAUAACCAACUAUUAUUGUUCAAGUAAGCAGAAACCGCUACUACGUUCUUCAAAGUAAGGGGGACUGAUGGGGUUGUUCAAGUUGGCUCUAUAUUGUUGUUUGAAUUUUGGUUGAGAAACAAAAUUUAGAAGAAAAAAAAAAGACAGUGCUACUUCUCAGUUCAAGCCAAUGGGUAUACAUAUAAUAUACAUAGAUUACAAGAGCGGUUGAAAAAAUUCAUGAUUGGUACUAAACAACUUACGUUAGUGGUCAUAUGAGUUUCAUCCUCCUAAUGUAAUGUUGAUAUGUCUACUGGAUUUAGUCGCAUAGAUAAUGUCCUGAUAGAUUAUGCAUCACCGACCGAUACAGCGAUUCGGGAUAGAGUUUUCCAGUCAUACACUUCGAGAUCAGGUAUGAACUCGAGGGUGAACUCAACGGCCUAUGGGUUCGUUGCUGAGAUCAAACAGAUUUAGAAGAAUUUGCAUAUGUAGUUUUCUUUGAUGUUUUGGAGUACAUAAAGGUUGAACUCCUAGAUACGCACAGUUGACAUUGGAUCAGUACUUGAUAGUCUUAUUGAACUGGUACAGUUAAGAGCUAAAAGUUAGAAAA